UACGGAGGAGGCAAGCGUUAUCCGGAAUUAUUGGGCGUAAAGCGUCCGCAGGUGGCACUUCAAGUCUGUCGUCAAAGACUGGGGCUUAACCCUGGAAAGGCGGUGGAAACUGAAGCGCUAGAGUGCGGUAGGGGUAGAGGGAAUUCCCGGCGUAGCGGUGAAAUGCGUAGAGAUCGGGAAGAACAUCGGUGGCGAAAGCGCUCUACUGGACCGCAACUGACACUCAGGGACGAAAGCUAGGGGAGCGAAUGGG
rnacentral:rRNA from 1 species